GACGAACGCUGGCGGCGUACUUAGCACAUGCAAGUCGAACGGAAAGGCCUCUUUCGGGGGGUACUCGAGUGGCGAACGGGUGAGUAACACGUGAGUAACCUGCCCUUGACUUUGGGAUAACUUCAGGAAACUGGGGCUAAUACCGGAUAGGAGCUCCUGCUGCAUGGUGGGGGUUGGAAAGUUUCGGCGGUUGGGGAUGGACUCGCGGCUUAUCAGCUUGUUGGUGGGGUAGUGGCUUACCAAGGCUUUGACGGGUAGCCGGCCUGAGAGGGUGACCGGCCACAUUGGGACUGAGAUACGGCCCAGACUCCUACGGGAGGCAGCAGUGGGGAAUAUUGCACAAUGGGUGGAAGCCUGAUGCAGCAACGCCGUGUGCGGGAUGACGGCCUUCGGGUUGUAAACCGCUUUCGCUCAUGACGAAGCUUUGUGUGACGGUAGUGGGUAAAGAAGCACCGGCUAACUACGUG
rnacentral:rRNA from 1 species